GUCAUCUUUGGAGGUUCUGGCCCCUGCUCCUGUUCUAGGGACUGCCUGCUCAUUUCUAGCUAACUGCCUAUCACAGUUUUUGCCUGAAAAUUGCUGUGGUUUUUGCACGAAAAUUGGUGCAGUCCUUGCCUGAGACCUUCUGAAUGGCUUCUAGCUGUCUCCUAAUUUCAUGGAUGAACUCUCCCCGGCGCGUUAGCUGCUCCUGAAAACUUGUGAGAGGACUGAGGAAGACGACCAGGUCGGCAUCAGAGCGGCCCCUGAGGGUGGUGCCU